UUAUUGCUGGUCAGCCCAAAGAUAUAACGUGUAAGACGGAAGUGACGUACCCUACAACCAACAUCACGUGGUACAUAGACACUGCAGAUAAUAAGCUAUAUGAAGAUAUAACAACGGAUAUUGAGGAUGGAGUAUCAACAAGCAGACUAACACUGGACAAACAUCUGAAUAAUCACACUCUUUAUUGUUCAGCUUUUAAUGGUUAUGGCAAAGUUCAAACGGAUUUUCUCAAACUGGAUGUAAUGUAUCCACCCACUAUACAUAUUGUAACAGAAGCAGCUUCCAUAGCCAUUGCUGAAGGGGGACAACUCUUAUUGACAUGUUCUGUUCAAGACACCAACCCUCGAGUACCACCACAUGGUUAUACUUGGAGUAGAAAUGGUAUAAAGCUGAUAGAUCAAACAUCAAAUAUAUUUAAAGUGGAUUCAACAUCGUCGUGCGACACCGGUAACUAUACCUGUACGGGUAACAAUGGUAUUGGAACAGGUAUAUCAUCACCUGUAAUGGUUUAUGUUUUUUCACGUGUUUGCGAAGAUAAGUCUGGAGUUGUCACUGGACUCGCUGUGGGUUUGACUUUGUUUAUGGUAUUGUCCAUUAUACUCUCCUUACUGGUAGCAUAUCUGAUGUUAACCAUUAGGUCAACAACCAAACCUAAAGAAUCCGAUGAAAUGAGUAGAAUUACACCUGUAACCUCGCCCAAUAAUACAAUUAACGAAGUUUCCAAUUAUGAUGGAUUAGAGCUGGGUAGCAGAGAUGCCAAUCAGUAUACAAGUAUUAAUGUUGCCUCGGUUCCAGACACGUCUCCUGAACAAAUACAAGAACACGAUAACCAAGCUUCCGAUACUGUCGCUACCAACGGAGAUAACUCACUUUAUGAAAACGUGGAGAGGGCGCAAGCAUGAACGGAAUAAAAAUCAACAUUUGUCGUGAAACAGCAACCGCACAUAAAUAGCUGAACUGUCUAAACAAAAGCGGAAAAUUAUAUACAUGUGUUAGGGGGGGGGGAGGGGUGUACUGUACAAUCGCAAAAGAGAGUGGAAAAUCACGUAUAGUAGGUACACAGGCUCCGCCUUUAUAGAAAAAAAAAUAAAUAGCAGCCUCUGUUGUGGAGUUGUAACAAUAGCUUGUGGAAUUUGACGCUCGCGUACUAUAUAUACGUCACUUAUCAGUGUACUGGAUUUUAUUAUUAGUAGAUUAUUUUAAUUUAUGCCGACAAACUUGAGAUGUACUUUUAUCGUAUCUAAAUUAUUAGAACUUAUAUACAAACUGAUCUAGGAUAAAUCUUGCAAUAAAUGAUAUAUUUGGUACGUAGUUCAUUGAUUGUUUUACUGUAAAUACCUAAGUAUUAGAUAUCUUUAUGUUGUAAAUUGACUUUCGACCAUGAUUUUAUUAUUUUUAGAGUAACGUCCCAUUGUUUACUCUUAUUAAAAACCCCUUAAAGCAUCGCCACUCAAUUUCUUAGUUUAUUACAAUAAUAAACCACCCAAGCCACAUUUUCUGAAAACUUCCAUUCUUGUAAACUUGGAUUGGGAAAAACCGGGUUAGUUUGUUGUUACCCUCCGAUGUAAACAGGACACGCUUUAAUAAUAUCAUUACAAUAAUAUCAUUGCUUUUCAUUUUAUAAAAUUGUUUUUCAUUUAAAAGAAAAUGUUUUCAUUGUAUAAUAAAUUGCUUUCAUUUUUUUUAAAUUGCUUUCAUUUUAUACAUUGCUUUUUAAUUGAUUAAUAGUAGGACGUCAAACCCCAUUUCAUUUCAUUUCAUUUUAAUUGUUUAAAUUGUUUUCAUUGUAUAAAUAAUUUUCAUUUAAUAAAUUGUUUUGAUUUUAUAAAAUGUUUUUAUUGUACGAAUUACUUUCAUAUUUUUAAAUUGCUUUUAUUUUAUACAUUGUUUUAAUUGUUUUCAU